rnacentral:rRNA from 1 species
UACGUAGGGCGCAAGCGUUGUCCGGAAUUAUUGGGCGUAAAGAGCUCGUAGGUGGCUUGUCGCGUCUGCCGUGAAAGCCCAUGGCUUAACCGUGGAACUGCUUGGUAUACUGGCUGUCUUGAGCCACUUAGGGGCAACCGGAACAAACGGUGGAGCGGUGAAAUGCGUAGAUAUCGUUUGGAACGCCAAUGGUGAAAACAGGUUGCUGGGAGUGUGCUGACGCUGAGACACGAAAGCCAGGGGAGCAAACGGG